GAGCGAACGCUGGCGGCAGGCUUAACACAUGCAAGUCGAGCGGGCGUAGCAAUACGUCAGCGGCAGACGGGUGAGUAACGCGUGGGAACGUACCUUUUGGUUCGGAACAACACAGGGAAACUUGUGCUAAUACCGGAUAAGCCCUUACGGGAAGAUUAUCGCCGAAAGAUCGGCCCGCGUCUGAUUAGCUAGUUGGUGAGGUAACGGCUCACCAAGGCGACGAUCAGUAGCUGGCUGAGAGGAUGAUCAGCCACAUUGGGACUGAGACACGGCCCAAACUCCUACGGGAGGCAGCAGUGGGGAAUAUUGGACAAUGGGCGCAAGCCUGAUCCAGCCAUGCCGCGUGAGUGAUGAAGGCCCUAGGGUUGUAAGCUCUUUUGUGCGGAAGAUAAUGACGGUACCGCAAGAAUAAGCCCCGGCUAACUACGUGCCAGCCGCCGCAGUAAU
rnacentral:rRNA from 1 species